CACGAACGCUGGCGGCAGGCUUAACACAUGCAAGUCGAGCGCCCCGCAAGGGGAGCGGCAGACGGGUGAGUAACGCGUGGGAAUCUACCCAUCUCUACGGAAUAACGCAUGGAAACGUGUGCUAAUACCGUAUACGUCCUUCGGGAGAAAGAUUCAUCGGAGAUGGAUGAGCCCGCGUGGGAUUAGCUAGUUGGUGGGGUAAAGGCCUACCAAGGCGACGAUCCAUAGCUGGUCUGAGAGGAUGAUCAGCCACACUGGGACUGAGACACGGCCCAGACUCCUACGGGAGGCAGCAGUGGGGAAUAUUGGACAAUGGGCGCAAGCCUGAUCCAGCCAUGCCGCGUGAGUGAUGGAGGCCCUAGGGUUGUAAAGCUCUUUCACCGGUGAAGAUAAUGACGGUAACCGGAGAAGAAGCCCCGGCUAACUUCGUGCCAGCCGCCGCCGUAACAC
rnacentral:rRNA from 1 species